CUCAAGUCUGUAAUCCCAGCACUUUGGGAGGCCAAGCCACAGACUUAUAACUCAUGUAAGCUGUUUCUCAAAUGUCUGCCCUGUGGUGCUGGUGAGAGCCGGAUGAAAAUGCACAGAGUGACACAACCUGGCCACCACCACCAGAAGUAAACAGCUCAGUGAUUCUCGUCUAUUCUCUCACAGCUACACACCAGCGCAAACACACACCCGAAACUGUCUUGUGUGGCAUUUGUCCAGUUGAAAAAGAACACCUUAGACUUAACUUUUAAAGUGUCUGUAAUAAAAACAUAAACUUCCAUUUUC